GUGGAGUCAAAGUGGCAUAUUUUGGAUUAUUCUAAUCUGUGUCUCAAAUGCUCCAAAAUCAACCCAAAGACGAACGGCAUCCUGUUUAAUGAAUUAUAUUACAACAGAUGACUUGUGUUCGUGUACA
rnacentral:snoRNA from 1 species